AUGAUGCGCCCCAAGGAUCAGGCACUAGUGGAAUUAUGUGACCCAGAAAGGCUCCAGGUGUGUCUGAGGCUUCAAAGCCUGCCGAUGCUCUCUCUGGCGCUCAGAGCCCUCACCAUGUUGUCAGAGAGACCUAAGAUGGGAAGAAAAUUGUUCUUCCUGCUGCCGGACGUGAUGAAUACACUGCUGUAUGACAACACACACAUCACUGAGAAGGCCCUGACUGUCUUCGAAAACGUGAUCGGUCAUCUGGAGAAGAGGGAGGCCAGCCCCAUCGCUCUGGCACUGGCUGAGAGACUCCUGCCUCUUUUUAACAACGAGUCCAGUGAGGUGCAAGAGCGCUCCAUUCUUCUCUUCAAAGACUUGAUGGAGUGUGUGGUGUGGUGGAAAAAAGGAGAAAUGAAGAAGACCAUGCGCAGGGCCCUUAUUCCACUGUUGUUCCGGAUGAGUGAUGAGACUGAGAGCGUGGCCAAGGCGUCAGCAGUAGUCCUACUUGCUUGUACAAUGUUCCUGAAGUGGAAACAGCUUGAGCACCUGGCUCAGAACGAAGACAUCACUAGGAUUAGGGAGUACUUGCUCAAGCAGAAGAGCAGCAGGGUGGACGAAUACCUGCAGCAGAGCCUGCCAUACCUGGAGGAUGCUCAGGCCAACUUGCGACAGGAGGCUGUCAAAUUCAUCGCGUUUGCUGCAUUGCACUCCGGGGACCUAGACAAAGAGAAGCUGCGUAUGAUCAUCACCUACCUCCAAAUUCAUUCGGAAUACGACAUCCAUCCAUCGAUCCGUCACCUGGCAGCUGGGACCAUAGAGAUCCUGCAACGUCAAGUACAGCAGCAACCCGCAUCAAGAUGGGCUAGGCUGGCAGCACUGCGCUGCUGGCCCUGAACAGCCAGGGAGCCACAGAGCUUCCCUGGGGAAGAUCUCUCUGAAUAAAACUCGAACUACAAGACCA
rnacentral:lncRNA from 1 species